rnacentral:rRNA from 1 species
AUUGAACGCUGGCGGCAGGCCUAACACAUGCAAGUCGAGCGGAUGAAGGGAGCUUGCUCCUGGAUUCAGCGGCGGACGGGUGAGUAAUGCCUAGGAAUCUGCCUGGUAGUGGGGGAUAACGUCCGUAAACGGGCGCUAAUACCGCAUACGUCCUGAUGGAGAAAGUGGGGGAUCUUCGGACCUCACGCUAUCAGAUGAGCCUAGGUCGUAUUAGCUAGUUGGUGGGGUAAAGGCCUACCAAGGCGACGAUCCGUAACUGGUCUGAGAGGAUGAUCAGUCACACUGGAACUGAGACACGGUCCAGACUCCUACGGGAGGCAGCAGUGGGGAAUAUUGGACAAUGGGCGAAAGCCUGAUCCAGCAAUGCCGCGUGUGUGAAGAAGGUCUUCGGAUUGUAAAGCACUUUAAGUUGGGAGGAAGGGCAGUAAGUUAAUACCUGGCUGUUUUGACGUUACCAACAGAAUAAGCACCGGCUAACUUCGUG